rnacentral:lncRNA from 1 species
CGCAUAUGCCUUCAAUAUAAAUUGUGGUGUUACAUAUAGAUUGUAACCCUAUUCUUAUUUUUGCAUGUGGUGAAAUCUUCAGGUAGAAGGAGGGAUGUUGAAGCAUUGAAAGCUUUUGUUUUGGAUGAAGCUGAAAAGGCAGCGGCAAAAGUUCAACUUGACAGUCAUGAAGAAUUAUAGCGAAUGUUGAGGUAUGCUACCAAGACUCCCACUCCCUUCAGGUUUAUUCCUCUGUUCUCUCUAUGGAAUUUUGUGAUGGUAUUUCGUAAGGGAGGACUUGAAAAUCUCAAUUGAUGGUGCAUCGUUGUGUGGCGGCCAUUUUUCUUUUUGUUUCUCCUUUGAUAUUCAUUAUGGGAAAGUUACAGUUUAGGAUAUUUUAAUUCUUGUGAACUACUUAGAAAAAUGGUUUAGCGGUACUCUAUUUAGGUUAAUCAUCUCAAUUUGAAAUAUACUUACCACCAUAUUUGAAAAAAUAAUUUACCAUUUAAUUCAUCAUCCAAUAAAUUAUUGCAAUAAUUUGAUUGAUCAUAGUUACUCUCAUGCAGCCAUUAUCUAGACUACGACCAGCUCUUACCGCAAGUGGUGCACAGAUGAGAUUAGUAAAGAUACAUUCUGCUAUGUUUUGAUCAACAUUUUUUUGUUUGACCUUGCUGUUGUGAAUUUAGAACUAAUUCUGCACACUACCAUUUUUGUAUAAUACUCCACAAAAUUUAUAGUGUACUGAGGCUAUCAAUUAUUUAGGAGCCAUGCAUGAAGAAUUGUUCUUUCAUCACUGUUUUUCAAAUGCUCAAAAUAGUGUAUUUUGUGGAACCUGUGAGAUUAUUUUAUGUCAUUAAUCAAGUAAAUACUCAUAAAGCUAGGUUAGCAAUGCU